UGGGGAAUUUUGGACAAUGGGCGAAAGCCUGAUCCAGCAAUGCCGCGUGUGUGAAGAAGGCCUUCGGGUUGUAAAGCACUUUUGUCCGGAAAGAAAUCCUUGGCUCUAAUACAGCCGGGGGAUGACGGUACCGGAAGAAUAAGCACCGGCUAACUACGUGCCAGCAGCCGCGGUAAUACGUAGGGUGCAAGCGUUAAUCGGAAUUACUGGGCGUAAAGCGUGCGCAGGCGGUUUGCUAAGACCGAUGUGAAAUCCCCGGGCUCAACCUGGGAACUGCAUUGGUGACUGGCAGGCUAGAGUAUGGCAGAGGGGGGUAGAAUUCCACGUGUAGCAGUGAAAUGCGUAGAGAUGUGGAGGAAUACCGAUGGCGAAGGCAGCCCCCUGGGCCAAUACUGACGCUCAUGCACGAAAGCGUGGGGAGCAAACAGGAUUAGAUACCCUGGUAGUCCACGCCCUAAACGAUGUCAACUAGUUGUUGGGGAUUCAUUUCCUUAGUAACGUAGCUAACGCGUGAAGUUGACCGCCU
rnacentral:rRNA from 1 species